UAAACCUUUUCUCAUAAGGUCUAGCUUUCAAUAAUUCUUGUUUUGGCGUUGGUAAUGAUUGUCACGUAUUUGUUGAGGAAGCUAUAUGAUUAGUUUCGAUUUUGAUAUCUAAUGAAGUUUCUGCAAGGAUGAUGAUAAACAUGAUCAAAAAUUUAUCAAAUAUCUUGAGCUUCUUCUUUCGACUGGCUUGGGAGUCGCGUAUCAGACUACCAGUCAUCCUAACUGUCUGGUUCAUGGUUCUUGAUGUCCGAAUGCAACUAGAAAUCAAUGUUAACUUGGGGCAGAAUCAAAUUGAUGCCUAAUUUUUUGCAAAAGUGACACUGAUUGAUGUUCAUGAAUUAAAACUACUUAUAUUCAUGCAGUUUCAAUACAUUUGUUAAAACAUUUAUAUUUAUGGGAAGUUCAUUUUAAAUGUUUCUGUGGAAAUAAACUUUAUAUUUCUUUA